rnacentral:rRNA from 1 species
UACGUAGGGGGCAAGCGUUGUCCGGAAUCACUGGGCGUAAAGGGCGCGUAGGCGGGGAGGUAAGUCGGGUGUGAAAUCCCUCGGCCCAACCGAGGAACUGCGCCCGAGACUGCUUCUCUUGAGUCCCGGAGAGGAAGGUGGAAUUCCCGGUGUAGCGGUGAAAUGUGUAGAGAUCGGGAGGAACACCGGUGGCGAAGGCGGCCUUCUGGACGGUGACUGACGCUGAGGCGCGAAAGCGUGGGGAGCAAACGGG